rnacentral:rRNA from 1 species
UACGUAGGGUGCAAGCGUUAAUCGGAAUUACUGGGCGUAAAGCGUGCGCAGGCGGUUCUAUAAGACAGAUGUGAAAUCCCCGGGCUCAACCUGGGAACUGCAUUUGUGACUGUAGAGCUGGAGUACGGUAGAGGGGGAUGGAAUUCCGCGUGUAGCAGUGAAAUGCGUAGAUAUUGGGAGGAACACCAGUGGCGAAGGCGGCUCACUGGACCGGAACUGACGCUGAUGCGCGAAAGCGUGGGGAGCAAACGGG